GCAUCAGCAUCAGCAUCAGCAGAGCAGCAUCAGAGGAGGAGCGGAGCAUCACAAAGUUUGAGGCUGCAGCAGACCAACCUCGCCGGGGAUCAGAUGAUGUGGCCCCCUGCUGUCAGGGAGAGUGACACAAACAACCAGAGGAGACCACACAGCCAUGUCUGCUGAUCUCAUCCAGUGUGAAGUCUUUGGUGAAAGGCGGCGUCACUCGGGAUGACAGACGUCUGUUGACAUCCCGUCUGCGGAGGACGUGACCUCGGACACAUCGCUCUGGGACGACGACUUCACACGUCCGGCCGACUCCUCUCCGACUUCUUAAGUCCGUCCCGGAGGGUAAUGGCGGCGUCACUCGGGAUGACAGACGUCUGUUGACAUCACGUCUGCGGAGGACGUGACCUCGGACACAUCGCUCUGGGACGACGACUUCACACGUCCGGCCGACUCCUCUCCGACUUCUUAAGUCCGUCCCGGAGGGUAAUGGCGGCGGCUGCAACUCGUCCGUCACUCGGGAUGACAGACGUUUGUUGACAUCACGUCUGCGGAGGACGUGACCUCGGAAACAUCGCUCUGGGACGACAACUUCACACGUCCGGCCGACUCCUCUCCGACUCCUUAAGUCCGUCCCGGAGGGUAAUGGUGAGAAGAACUCCUGAGGACACGUCACGCCUCUGACCCACAUAUCGGUCUUUACUCGCUGAGGCAGAGAGCUUUGGACCGGUCGUUUUCUUUGCUCCAUGGUCCAUCCCAGAACUGUUUUUUUUGGAUCAGUCACUUCCUGCCUGAUUAAUGCUCUAAAAAUAGCAUCGCCUGAGGGUGGUGGGCUUUUAAUUUCCCUGAAAAUAGCUCUGAGUGAUAUCAAAGCGUGCGCCUCAGAUACCUGUCCUACAUUUCCCA